rnacentral:lncRNA from 1 species
GAUCGCAGGCUGGAGCGGCCUCAGAGCAAUUUUAAAUGGAAACGGAAGCAGCUGCCACGCCUCGGAGCGUCUCUCGGUGGCUCUGGAGCUCACCGCGGGAGUCCGGAGCGACUCACGGACUCCGGGGCUGCAGGUCGCGGGACUAAGAAGCGCUAGGUUGAAACCCGAAAGAGGCAAAUCCACUCGCCCACAGCCCUCCCCCACUUCGCUAGGUAAAAGAUUAGAGUUGUGCGGAUCUCUUACCCUGGAAGCUGAGCUGUUUUCCUGUCACAACUUGAAAACGACUUUACUCAGAAGGCUUUCACGGGCAGGUCGCGCAAGCAAGACAGGUCGGCGCACCUCAGAGGUCGGCGCGCCUCCGAAGGCGGAGCGCCUGCCGGGACUCCCGGAAUUAGAAUUGAGUUCAUGCCGUUUAAUUCAGCAACGAGUGGGGUCAUCUGUGCAGGGGACGGAACCAGAAUGUGUCACGCGCACCUCUGCCCAUGCGGAAUGUACACUUUCAGACCGACUCCCGUCAUUUCCAUCGUUUCCAUUUCUUUUCCGCGCUCACCCGGGACACAGGAAGACCAAGAUCUGGGGUGUGAGAGGUGGAGGGUAAAGCACGUGAUUAUUUAGGUCUGCAAACUAUUACCAAACAAAAUAAAAAAGCAGUAAUACUGUUAAAAUGACUAUAAAUGGGGUUGUCCUUUAUACUUGUUAAUCUAUUCCACGCUUGAGAUGGACGGUAAACUCAAAUGCUUGGUGACAUAAUUUGGACUAAUUUCUAAAUAUAGUGUAAUUUCAAAUUCACUUUGUAUUAAUUUCAAAAGUAAUGAGAAAGUUUUUAUUUUAAAAUUGAGAUAUCUUUUAGCUUUUUUGCUGUUUUCUAUUUCUGAAUGUUCUGUCAACACUGGUUUUGUGAUAUUUAGAGGGGCAUUUGAUAGGGAUGCCUAGUAUAUGAAUGCUGAAGAAAGUAAAAUUUGUGAAAUUUUCAAAUGGCCUCAUUUCUACUCACUAAUUUUUUAAGCUUUAUUUCAACUUCAAAAAAUAAAAUAACAAAUGGCAGCUA